UUUGAGUUUGGGGUUAGGAAUUGGAGUAAGGCAGAUAGAAUUUUUGGGUUCAGUGGUUAGAUGUAUAGGCAUUAAGGGUUAGGUGUUCAGAGUCAGGGUACAAGGAUUUUGUUUGAGUAUAGUCGGGUGUUAAGGUUAUGCGAUGACGCAUUCAGGCUGUUCGGUUCGUCAUACAGGCGAUUUGGGUUUGGUGUGUCGACGCUUUUAGGAUACGGGGGUUUGGUGUAAGUGUUUACUACCUAACGCUUAAUCCUCUAAUCCAAACCCAUGUGCUUGUUCGUUGCACCUGUAAUGAGCUUUUUCACAGGCCUGGUCUAUUUAGUGGAGAUGACGGCGCUGUUGGACGGUAUGCGCUGGUGCGGCUGGAUGGGUUGUGGAGCCGAGGAUUAGGAGAGAGGAACGUCGGUGUUGACUGUCGAAACAAAUUUAAGGCCUGGUCUAUUUAGUGGAGAUGACAGCGCUGUUGGACGGUCUGUGCUGGUGUGGCUGGUUGGCUUGUGGAGCAGAGGUCAAUGAGGAGAGGAACGUCAGUGCUGACUGUCGAUGAAACAAAUUUAAGAACUGCUUCAAAUGUGUAUGUGGGAAAAGUGGCUCAGAUUGCAUCACUGUCCGUGUUUUAUGUGUUGUGUGCUACAUCAAACCAGCAUUUGGAAAUGUGGCGCAUUUCCGCUGUUUAUUCUUGUGUUGAUGAAUGUGCACUGCUCCAAUAAAAUCUUCACACUCGGUAUGCUAACCUCCUCACCAACCCUUAACAGUAAACUAUAACCCUAACCCUGUACCCUCACUCCUAACCAAAACCCUCAAAUCACCUACCCUGAACGCUAACCUCCAUAAUCCUUAAGCUAAUGUUAAAUCUUAACCUUUAAUUCUCCCCUUAACCUGACAUAUUGUGUACCUUAACCCAAUUCAUCCGUAAGACUCUAAAUCCGCAACCCCUAAAUCCUAAAAUUAAACUUGAACCCUAACCCUCAUCCAUACUGCAGGCAUGUCCAGCCCUAGGCCUGGAGGGCCACUGUCCUGCCAGUUGUCCAUUCCCGGCUGCAACACACCUGAUUCAGAUGAUCAGCUCAUCAGCCAUCUCUGAAGCAGCAUUGGAACGAUCCUGAUUAUUUGAAUCGGGUGUGUUGCUCCUGGCGAAGUUGGAAAACAGGACAAGCAUCCCUUGAGGACUGAGUUUGGAGACCCCUGCCUUUUACCCUAAUCUCCCUCACUCAAACCCUAAUUCCCUAAUGCAAACACCUGUCCAUGUACUGUAGCUGCUAAACAAUGAUCCCCACACCUCUUAACCUAACUAUAAACACUAACCCUCUAAUCCUAACUAAACUAACAUUAACCCCAAACCUUGACCCACAAAAUGCUAGCCCCUAAUUCUAACCCGAUUUGACAAUGCAACCCCCACAUCAGAGCCCCGGGCCUGGAGGUCCACUGUCCGGCCUGUUGUCCAACUCUCCUGGCUACAACACACUUGAUUCAGAUGAUCAGCUCAUCAGCAAUCUCUGAAGCAGCAUUAGAACGAUCCUGAUUGUUUUGAAUCAGACGUGUUGCUCCUGGCAAAGUUGGAAAAGGGUCAGGACAAGCGUCCCUUGAGGACAGAGUUUGGACACCCCUGCCUUUUACCUUAAUCCCCCUCACCCAAACCCUAAUUCCCUAAUGCCAACACCUGUCCAUGUACUCUAACCUCUAAACCAUGAUCCCUACACCCCUUAACCUAACUAUAAACACGAAUCCUAACUAAACUAACAUUAACCCUAAACCUAGACCCACAAAAUGCUAGCCCCCAAUUCUAACCCGAUUUUGACAAUGCAACCCCCACAUCAGAGCCCCGGGCCUGGAGGUCCACUGUCCGGCCCGUUGUCCACCUCUCCUGGCUGCAACACACUUGAUUCAGAUGAUCAGCUCAUCAGCAAUCUCUGAAGCAGCAUUAGAACGAUCCUGAUUUUUUUGAAUCAGGCGUGUUGCUCCUGGCAAAGUUGGAAAAGGGUCAGGACAAGCGUCCCUUGAGGACCGAGUUUGGACACCCCUGCCAUUCUCCCUAAUCCCCUCACACAAACCCUAAUUCCCCAACCUUCAAUGUUAAUACCUGUCCUUGUACUCUAACCUAUAAACCAUGACCCCCUCCCCUACACCCCCUAACUACACUUGUGGUAAUCCUAAACCUUGACCCAGAAAAUGCUAGCCCCUUAAUCCUAACCCGAUUUGACAAUGCAACCCCCAAAUCCGAGCACCAGCCUUCAUCCAUACUCCAGGAAUGUCUGGGCCUGGAGGGCCAAUGUCCUGCUUUUUUUCCACCUCUUUCAUGUGUAACACACCUGAUUCAGAUGAUCAGCUCAUCAGCCAGCUCAGUCAUUAGAAUGAUCCUGGUUAUUUGAAUAAAGGUGUGUUUCUCCCGGCAGAGCUGGAGAAACAGACAGACCAAGUUGGGACACCCCUGCCCUAUCCUGAACCUUCUAACUCUAAACGCUAGCCCUGUACCCUCACCCCUAUCCUAAACCAUAACUCUUGAAUCCCCUACUCUAAACCCCUAACACUUUAAACCCCCAAGGCCAAUUUUAAAUCCUACCUCUUAAGCCCAACUCCCGAACCAGACCGUUAACGCUAACCUCGCAUAACCCUAAUCCCCUGUAACCUCUUCACCAUCAAUGCUGAAACACCAAAAUGCCGAACCCGAACUGCCUAAACACCUAACGGUCUCACUCCUAACAUCAAAUCUUAACCCUGAUCGUCUUAAUCCUAUCCCUAACUUGAAACCCAGAUUCUCCAGCCCUAACCUAAUACUAACUCUGGCCCUACACCUUGUCUGAACCUAAACCAUACUCCAAACCCGAACUUUCAUCAACUGCCUAAACACCUAACCUAAAAUGCCUAAUUCUAACACUAAAAGCAAAAUGUCCUCUCCUUAACUUCUACCUAACCCACAACCAUGACUCGGAGCUUCUCAAACCUAACCCACCCGUUAUCACCGAAAAUGCUGGCCUCUUACCCCAGCUUCAACCGCAGCCCCCCCCCCCCACCUCCCCCCAAAAUCGUAAAACUAAACUUAAACUCUUCCAUACUCCAGGCAUGUUGUGCUCUGGGCAUUGGCGGGCCACUGUCCUGUCUGCUUUGCAUCUCUCCUGGCUGCAACACACCUAAUUUAGAUAAUCAGCUCAUCAGCCAGCUCUGAAGCAGCAUUAAAACGAUCCUGAUUAUUUGAAUUGUGUGCUGCCCCUGGAAGAACUGGAAAAGGGCCGGACGGAGACUCUUAAUGACAGUUUAGACACCCCUGCCCUACCCUGAACGCUAAUCCCAACCUAAACCAUUACCCCCUACCCGAAACUAACAACCCCGAACCACCCAAUCUCUAUAAUCCUAAAACCAGAUUAAGACGUAACUUCUUAUUGCCAGUGAAUUAAGUGACACUAAUGCCUAACUGCUUUCAGUUUAUGCAAUUUGGUUUUAUUUCAUUGGGACAGUGCACAUAAAUCAACAAAUUGAGGAAUAAGCGGUGAAACUGGGUAAUCUUUUAUAACUGAACCCAGUCUGCAAAACCUGCAAACGAAAUUUUCCAAUGUAAAAUAUGGACAAAUGGAAGCUGUACCACCCCAAGUGACACAUUCAGCAGGAGUCAUUUGAAUGCUGAUGGAAUUACACGAAGACUCAAGUGUUCAACCAUUGGAGAAGUGAGGAUGACAGAUGUGGAAAAGGAAGAUCAAGACCCUCAUCCAGGCCAAAACUGGACUUAACUGAAUAAAGCCAAAGUUGUCUCUCACAAACGAUACAUACGAGUUGUCUUUUUUUUUUUUUCACUUCCAAGUGUG